rnacentral:tmRNA from 1 species
GGGGGCGAUCGGAUUCGACUGGUUUUCCAUAGGUUGAGGUGGCGUGUCGUGGUUGAUCAGUUGGCCACGUAAAAAGCUGAUCAAAAAAUUAUCUGCCAACAAGCAGUAUGCUUUGGCCGCCUAAUUGAGCGGUCCGGGUCUAGGAAUCCCUGCCUGAGGAGUCCGAACACCCGCUAACAAUUUCGGGCUGGUUUGGGGUCAAUGAGGACUACGCCCCGAACGAGAUAUCGUGGUCCCCUGGCGUUCAAGGGUUUUGUGGAUUGAACCUGAGAACGCGAGAUUUAAUCAAUCUUCUACACACGUAGAGGCCGAAACUGAGGGCUCACAGGACGGGGGUUCGAUUCCCCCCGCCUCCAUCU